rnacentral:rRNA from 1 species
UAGAGGAGCGUUCUGUAAGCCUGUGAAGGUGAGUUGAGAAGCUUGCUGGAGGUAUCAGAAGUGCGAAUGCUGACAUGAGUAACGACAAUGGGUGUGAAAAACACCCACGCCGAAAGACCAAGGGUUCCUGCGCAACGUUAAUCGACGCAGGGUUAGUCGGUUCCUAAGGCGAGGCUGAAAAGCGUAGUCGAUGGGAAACAGGUUAAUAUUCCUGUACUUCUGGUUACUGCGAUGGAGGGACGGAGAAGGCUAGGCCAGCUUGGCGUUGGUUGUCCAAGUUUAAGGUGGUAGGCUGAAAUCUUAGGUAAAUCCGGGGUUUCAAGGCCGAGAGCUGAUGACGAGUCGUCUUUUAGAUGACGAAGUGGUUGAUGCCAUGCUUCCAAGAAAAGCUUCUAAGCUUCAGGUAACCAGGAACCGUACCCCAAACCGACACAGGUGGUCGGGUAGAGAAUACCAAGGCGCUUGAGAGAACUCGGGUGAAGGAACUAGGCAAAAUGGCACCGUAACUUCGGGAGAAGGUGCGCCGGCUAGGGUGAAGGAUUUACUCCGUAAGCUCUGGCUGGUCGAAGAUACCAGGCCGCUGCGACUGUUUAUUAAAAACACAGCACUCUGCAAACACGAAAGUGGACGUAUAGGGUGUGACGCCUGCCCGGUGCCGGAAGGUUAAUUGAUGGGGUUAGCGCAAGCGAAGCUCUUGAUCGAAGCCCCGGUAAACGGCGGCCGUAACUAUAACGGUCCUAAGGUAGCGAAAUUCCUUGUCGGGUAAGUUCCGACCUGCACGAAUGGCGUAACGAUGGCGGCGCUGUCUCCACCCGAGACUCAGUGAAAUUGAAAUCGCUGUGAAGAUGCAGUGUAUCCGCGGCUAGACGGAAAGACCCCGUGAACCUUUACUGUAGCUUUGCACUGGACUUUGAGCCUGCUUGUGUAGGAUAGGUGGGAGGCUUUGAAGCGUGGACGCCAGUUCGCGUGGAGCCAUCCUUGAAAUACCACCCUGGCAUGCUUGAGGUUCUAACUCUGGUCCGUGAUCCGGAUCGAGGACAGUGUAUGGUGGGCAGUUUGACUGGGGCGGUCUCCUCCUAAAGAGUAACGGAGGAGUACGAAGGUGCGCUCAGACCGGUCGGAAAUCGGUCGCAGAGUAUAAAGGCAAAAGCGCGCUUGACUGCGAGACAGACACGUCGAGCAGGUACGAAAGUAGGUCUUAGUGAUCCGGUGGUUCUGUAUGGAAGGGCCAUCGCUCAACGGAUAAAAGGUACUCCGGGGAUAACAGGCUGAUACCGCCCAAGAGUUCAUAUCGACGGCGGUGUUUGGCACCUCGAUGUCGGCUCAUCACAUCCUGGGGCUGAAGCCGGUCCCAAGGGUAUGGCUGUUCGCCAUUUAAAGUGGUACGCGAGCUGGGUUUAGAACGUCGUGAGACAGUUCGGUCCCUAUCUGCCGUGGACGUUUGAGAUUUGAGAGGGGCUGCUCCUAGUACGAGAGGACCGGAGUGGACGAACCUCUGGUGUUCCGGUUGUCACGCCAGUGGCAUUGCCGGGUAGCUAUGUUCGGAAAAGAUAACCGCUGAAAGCAUCUAAGCGGGAAACUUGCCUCAAGAUGAGAUCUCACUGGGAACUUGAUUCCCCUGAAGGGCCGUCGAAGACUACGACGUUGAUAGGCUGGGUGUGUAAGCGUUGU